rnacentral:rRNA from 1 species
UACGAAGGGGGGCUAGCGUUGCUCGGAAUCACUGGGCGUAAAGGGUGCGUAGGCGGGUUUUUAAGUCAGAGGUGAAAUCCUGGAGCUCAACUCCAGAACUGCCUUUGAUACUGAGGAUCUUGAGUCCGGGAGAGGUGAGUGGAACUGCGAGUGUAGAGGUGAAAUUCGUAGAUAUUCGCAAGAACACCAGUGGCGAAGGCGGCUCACUGGCC